ensembl:misc_RNA Metazoa_SRP Metazoan signal recognition particle RNA
GCUGGGUGCAGUGGCACAUGCCUGUGGUCCCAGUUUCUUGGGAGGCUGAGGCAGGAGGAUCGCUUGAGGCUGGGAGUUCUGGGCUGUAGUGUGCAAUGCUGACUGGGUGUCCGCACUAAGUUUGGCAUCAUUAUGGUGACCUCCUGGGAACAGGGGACCACGAGGUUGCCUAAGGAUGGGUGAACCAGUCCAGGUGGGAAAUGGAGCAAGUCAAAACUCCCUUGCUGUUUGGAGUGGGAUUGGGCCUGUGACUAGCUACCAUACUCAAGCCUGGGCAACAUAGCAAGACCCCAUCUCUA